AUGGAGGACGACCGACAGGGGCCACCAGGCGACGGCGCCGAAGAUCUCGAUCCCCACCUCGACCUCAUCAGCCGCCUCCCGGACGAGCUGCUCGGCACCGUCGUCUCGCUCCUCCCCACCAAGGACGGCGCGCGCACGCAGGCCGUCUCCCGCCGCUGGCGCCCACUCUGGCGCUCCUCCAUGGCGCCGCUCAACCUCAUCGCCGACUACCACCUCUCCGAAAAGGACUCGCGCGCCGCGCUGGUCUCCAGGAUCCUCGCCGAUCACCCCGGCCCGGCCCGCCGCUUCUCGAUCCAGCUCAUGUUCCUCCCCGAGAGCCUCGACGAGGUCGACGGCUGGUUCCGCUCCGGGACCCUCGCCGGCCUCCACCAGCUCGAGGCCACCAACCUGUGUAAUAACCACUACCCGCUUCCGCAGCACGCCCUGGUCCGCUUCGCGCCGACGCUGCGCGUGCUCAGCCUCGGCGGCUGCCGAUUCCCUGACCUGGCCCGGCCGCCGAGCUUCCCGCACCUCAAGCAGCUCAUCCUAUACGAUGUCGGCAUCUCGGAGGGCUCUCUGCAGAGCGUCAUCUCCGGCUGCCGCGUUCUGCAAAGCGUCUCGCUGCACAACAUGGGCUUUGGUCGCCUUUGCAUCAGGUCGCCGACCCUCAGGAGCAUCGGCUUCUAUGCUCCUCGCACGCAAGGUGUCACCACUUUCCGGGAGCUGGUCAUCGAGGAUGCUCCUUGCCUAGAUAGAUUGCUACCAGUUUAUCCAGAUGAUGGUCCGGCGACUAUACGAGUGAUCCGGGCUCCUAAACUGCAGAUAUUGGGGUUUUUGUCGGAAGGCAUAUCCACACUCCAAUUUGGAACCACAGUCUUUCAGAAAAUGUUUGCUGUCAGCUUGACAACCAAGAUGUACACGUUGAAGAUUUUGGCUCUUGACUCAAUUGGCCCUAAUCUGGAUGCAGUUAUUGAUUUUCUCAAGUGCUUCCCCUGCUUGGAGAAGCUCCAUGUCAUAUCGCAUCCCCAAAAUGCUAUGAAUAACGUGCUGAAAUUUGACCCGCUCGAGCGAAUUGAAUGCCUUGAACUCCAUCUAAAAAAAGUGGUGUUGAAGAAUUACAAUGCCGACAAGAGUCCAGCAGUCGACUUUGCAAACUUCUUUAUUUUGAAUGCCAAAGUGCUGGAGGAAAUGGAAAUCGGAGUUCUUCACGACGGCAGUUACAGAAUGCUUUGUAACUCACUGUGGGGGAAAACAGGACUGAGGAGGUGGUGCCUGACCUAG
rnacentral:rRNA from 1 species